CUAGCGACGUAAAUCACUUUCUCAACUUUCUUGAAGAGCUGAGCUCUGUAAGACUCGCUUCGACGCAAGAAGUUCCGCCGGGGCACAACACAAACCCACCGGUUCUCUUACAUUGCCUGGAGGGAGGAGGUCGUUCGGGAGUGACCCUGACUGCGGAUCUCUUGCUCUACACUCUGGAUCAUAACGAGGACCUAGACAUAUCUCGUGUGGUAGGCCAGCUUCGGCAUCAGCGGGACAGCAUCAUACCAUCCUUGGCACAAUAUAAAUUUAUUUACAAUCUCCUUAUAUCUUACCUAAAACGCACGAGGCUAAUCUAACGUUGAAUAUAAUAAUAUGUAUAGUUUCAGUAAACAAAAUAUAUCUCUCUCAUUUUAAUGGUCGCUUGUUCUUAAGGACGUUUAAAAAAUGUGGGUUUAAGAGUGUGAAAGUGAACAAGGCACCCAUGAAUUUGCAUGCUUAAACUCAGCAUUCUAGGCGUAAUAGUUUCUGCGUUUAUUCGGACUUGAUCUAGAAAAUAUAUUACUAUGGGCAAAUAGUAAGGUGAAUUUUCAAUUUAAACUUCGCAAGUCAAAUAAUUUAAGCUAGUUAUUGUGCACAUUGCUCGUAGACUAAUAAGGUACACUAGAAGAAAGAAGUUUCUAUGUCCCCAUAAGGUACAUAUAUUCGUGAUCAGAAUCACUAGCCGAGUCGAUCUAGCCAUGUCUGUUUGUCUGUCCGUCCGUAUGAACGCUAAGAUCUCGGAAACUAUAAAACCAAUAAAUAAAAACCAAUAAAUAAUAAAACCAAUAAAUAAAAAAGGUAUUUCUCUUGUAAAUUAUUUAGUUUUAUUGUUGUAAAAUUAUUAUAAAAGUAUUUUUACUUUCACACUUUUUCGUUUGCUUUUCAUAACACAAUAAUUGGUGCUUCGGUUUGCUCAAAACCAAAUUUUUUCUGUUUUGAAAACGAAAAAAGCCAGGGGAUUUUAAAUUCGAAACUAGACACUAAAACUCUGACAUCUCUAAAACUACAAAGCCUAGAAAUUUUCUAUUUGGCAUGUAUUGGCUGAGAUUCUUGUAUACUCUUUUUCACAAGGGUGCCAAGCCCAUUUCCAUUGCUCUUAGUUGCUCAAUAAAAAAUCAUCAUAAAUAAUAACCAUUUAAACGCAAAGGUGAAAUGAAUAUCGGAGCCAGCCUGUAUGUGUUUACCACAAAACACUGAAUUGCGUCCUUGUUAAAAAAGUUAUUUUGUUUUAUAGGUUUAGGUUACAUCCUCCUCCAGGGCUAGUUGGACCUUUCGGGCUAGAAAAGGCAUCGACUACCAAAUGGUAACUUAUGGGUCAAUUAGUGACUUCUUUAUCUUUUACAAACUUGCACUUGUGCAAAAGAGUUAUGGUAGGGUUAACACUCAUACGAGUAUAUGAAUUAUAAAAAUCGUUAAAUAAUCGUAUAUAAUUUUUUUUAAAACUAAUACACUUGUUAAAAUAAUAAAAUAAUUUUAAAAAAAUUAAUAGAUAAUUAUUAGAUAAAAAGGAUAAAAUAAAAUAAUAAAAAAUAGAUAUUUUUGUUAUAUAUUAUUUGAACUUAAUCAUAGGCUGCAGCAAUAUUUACAAUAGCGGUGGGUCAGCAGCAAAAAGUUUUCAUCCAUUCUAUAACAAGCUGAUUUUAUUGAUGCUUAAAAAUUUAAAAUAAAUAUAAAAUAGCCUAAUUAUAUAUAAAUAUAAAUAAACAAAAACAUUAUAAGCAAAAUGUUUUUAUUGCAAUUGAUUAUUUGAUAUCGGUAGGCGCAAUGUUAAUCGUAACGGACUGCCAUCACUACUCAACGCCAUUACCAUCUCUCACCCAACGUUUGUGCCAAAUUUUGUAAACAUUUUAGUUCAUUUGUAAUCUAAAGUGUCGUUAACAGAUUUCUUUUAUAAUCAGCUUGGAUGAACCAGGAUGAGAGAUGAAUUUGCAGAGAGCUAGUUGAAAGCUUCCAAAGAAGUUAAGGAAGUAGAGGACUCUAAAUAUUAUGGAUCUCUAGUAUGGACAACGUAGUAGCCGAAUGCACCAAUGAUGUCUUAGCAGUCACUGAACGCGUAUUAAAAACUUACGCGUCGUUACGUAACGAUACUUGCUCUUGAGGCCUACAUGCGGAAGGUACAGCACAAUGCGAAACGCAGGCCAGUCAUUUUAGCCCCAUCGUACUGGUAGUCGACGGAAUCAACGAGUGUCCAGAUCGGGUCGGCAUAACUACCAACGGAACACAUCUUAUUACUUUCGAGCGAAUAGCUUUUAUCAACGGCUGAGCGUUGUCCAGGAGUUCCGAGGUCCCGGACCAAGCUUGAGGAAAAGCGAUGUAAAAUAUUAAAAACAAAAUAUAAAAAUAAAAAAAAUAGACUUGCGAAUAACGUAACGUAGUAUUAAAUAUGGCGUGCAAUUUUGCAAGACCCAUCUAAAAAUGUAUCGUUUAAGCACUGUUACGUAUACAUAGUUCAGUCAACAAAUCUCAAUUCGUUGCUUUGAUUCAAAGGCCCUUCGCUUUGGUCUGUAGACUCGACGUCUUGGGCAGUUAAUCAGUACUUAACUGUAAUAUCCCUCGAAAGCCAAUUCGAAAUGAAACCAUCAGUAAGGAUCCAGAUGGUUGCUGCUGUUUUUAAUCAUCUAUUACGCAGUGAUCGCACCCAUUAGAAAAAAAACAACAUUUAAGGUAAAUAUACAAGUAUACAAAAAAACACAUUUUAUUAUUUUUUUCAGGAGCGUUGGCCAGGAGUUCCGAGGUC